rnacentral:tRNA from 1 species
GGAGUUGUGGCUCAGUGGCAAGAGCACUUGCCUAGCAUGUGUGAGGCCCUGGGUUCGAUUCCAAGCACCA